UACGUAGGGUGCGAGCGUUAAUCGGAAUCACUGGGCGUAAAGGGUGCGUAGGCGGGUCUUUAAGUCAGGGGUGAAAUCCUGGAGCUCAACUCCAGAACUGCCUUUGAUACUGAAGAUCUUGAGUUCGGGGAGAGGUGAGUGGAACUGCGAGUGUAGAGGUGAAAUUCGUAGAUAUUCGCAAGAACACCAGUGGCGAAGGCGCUCACUGGCCCGAAACUGACGCUGAGGCACGAAAGCGUGGGGAGCAAACAGGG
rnacentral:rRNA from 1 species